rnacentral:lncRNA from 1 species
AGGACUUUUGUUCAGAAAGCAUAGGAUGUUUAAAAAGAAACCUCAGCAAGAUGGAGAGAAGAUCAAGGACUGCCUGUUCGCAGCGUGGAUUUUAACCGAGGCACCGACAACAUCACCGUGAGGCAGGGGGACACGGCCAUCCUCAGGUAGGGCUUUCAGUCAACUUUUCUGCUGUGCACAAGUGUGUGUGUGUGUGUGUGUGUGUGUGUAAGUGUGAUCUUGAGCUCCAGCUCCUGAUGCUGCAGGCUUGUGGUGUGUCUUGUGUGUGUUUAUGCCUUUUAUGGACUGGCCCUUAUAUCUGCCAACAAAUUUCAAGGGGAUUCUGGUCCCUGUCAAGGAUCAGUGGGGUUUGUUAAAUUUUGGUUGUUAGGAUCUUGUUUCUCCUACUGAAAGAGCGUAACUUCAUCUAUGGUAUUGGUGACAUUUGGGCAGUAUUCUUGCUUUUGUGAUUGCAGAUGCUUUGCGCUUAAGAGUUUUGUUGGGAUUCCUUAAUUGAGAAAGGAGAGUUUUUGAAUAAUGGCUCUCAGAGAGUGAUACACAGUAUUGCAUCUGUGUGUGUGUGUGUGUGUGUGUGUGUGUGUGUGUGUAUGUGUGUGCUCGCGCGCGCGAAUAUGUAUAUAAAAGCUCUUGCUUUGCCAAAGCAGUAGUUUGGAUAGGAGACUUUCUGUGAGGAUCUUAUAAUUGACAUCUAGGGUAAUAAAUCAAUCUUAGAACUUUGGUUGGUUACUGAGCCUUUUCUGGAAUGUGGAUAGAAAUCAACAUAAGAAUGAAAACAAGGGAAAAAAGGAACUUGCCAGAUUGCUGGUAUUUAAGAAUUGGAGUGUUAAGCACAGAGGUUAGGAAAGAAUUAACCUGCAUAAAAUGAUAUUUGAAAUUGAUUAUUGACCUCAAAGUCUUAUCUCCAUGCAAACUCUGAAAUAUAAUUUGGGAUUGAAAUUUGGAAAGGAAGAGUCCUAAGUCCUUGGGAGUUUGACCCCUAUAAGGGAGAGUGAGCUAGAGAAACUCGGUUGGAACCUCGCCAUAAUUCUCUUUCUAAAAAGCUCCAUGCUUGUUUUCCUUAUUUUCCCUUCUCUCUUUUCCUUCUCCAUACACUGCAUAUACUUGUCCUUUUUUAUAGCUUUACUUGAAUUUCCAUCAGAUACUAAAAAUAAAUAAAUAAAUAAAUAAAUAAGAAUGAAAGAAAAUGUUCUCCUUGGAGAUCCUUUAACAUCUCAUUUCAUCCAAAUAAAAUGACCCAGUGUCAGUCUGUCUAUCUAGCUAAUAUUACUUGUUGUGGCAAUAAAAAGCCAUAUCUGAUAGAAAAGAAACCUCUAAUCGGCAUGUGAGGAGCUGAUAGUGCAUAAACCCUGGGGCAUCAGGGAGCUGUUCUGUAGCAGAGCUGCCUACAGCAGCAAAGUUUUCUUUCCUUUUCUCAGAAAUAAAUUUGGUUGGCUGUCACAGUGUCCUGCUUUGGGAUCUCUCGCCUUGUUAGAGAGGAAUGUGUGUGUUGUGCAUGUUGUGUUGUUUGUGUGUGUGUGUUGCUGUGGAUUGUAAAAACUAAGAAAAGCCUAAGUGUAAGUACUCCUUUCUUCACUUCCUGAGCUUUGAGUGAUUAUGAAUCCCAAAGAUCCUCCCAUCCAAAGCAUAUUUUCCUUUCUAGCUCGUCCUGUAAAGCCUGCAUGUGUGAUUUAUCCACAUGGAGUAAUAAGAUUUAUAGAGUAAUUUAUCUGUUUGCAAAGGGAUUUGGACAUGAUGCAGAAAAUGUUUUUGCAAACUCGUAAGCAUGCCGUCUCAACUGCUAGCAUUCAUAUUCCCCAACAUCAUUAACCCUUUACAAGUGAAGCGCUCUAUAAAUUUACACUAUCCCUAGAAAGAUUUAAUUUCACUGAUUAUAUGAGUGAAUAUGGGGAAAGUGAAGGCCCUAGAUGUGUGAGUUUUUAUUUCAGUGUGCAUGAACUUUGUAAGGUCUUCCUAAGUCAGUAUCACCUAUAUCUUAAGCUGUAUUUAUCAGUUAGAUAAGCAUCUAAAUGUUAAUUUAGAAGGAAAAAAUAAGUCUUAUAUUGUCAUACACUAUAUGCAUAGAAGUCUAUGUCUUUGAGAAGCAGUCUUGUACAUAUAUAUCUAUAUAUGUAAACAUAUGAUAUAUAUGUACUGUGUAUCUGUGGCUCCCAGGAAAUGGAAUUUUUUAAGCAUUUCACUUUAGUAGACAUUGCAGCAUGGAAAUGGUGGAAAUGGGGGGGGCUAGUGGGAAUAGAGAAUAAAUAUAGAAGCACUGAUUCCCUGAGAAAGAGAAGCUAGACCAACAGGGUAUGCAGAGAAGUCACCUGUGAGAGUAAAUCACUUUCCCAGACCUCACCUAAAGUGCCCUCUUUUUAUUUCCUUUGCCUUGGACAAGGCUUUAUUUCUGGGUUGAUGGAGCUCUAUCAGAAGUAACUAUGGAGAGAGUUCCCUUUGUUUUCUUAGCUGACCUUCUUCUCCAUCUCUUUAACUGAGUCCAGUAAGCUUUGUGGGUCAGUUUCCUGGUGAAGAAUGGCACUCUUGCUUUCUGUUUACAAGUCUAGCCUGAGAAAGGCUUGCUUCCACUUUAUUUGUGGCAUUUUACUAGGAGCAUGGGCUUCCAGGGGAGGAGAGGGAGGAGAACUUGAUUCAUUGGAAGCAACAGUAGAUGUUUGGCUCUGAGAAAGUGAAAUGGCAAGGGGAAAAAAAAAUUCUCUCUCAGCGAGUCUGUGGCCCUGAAUGAUCUGAAAUGGCAACAGGAGACAAGGGAGGUUUGUAAUUUUGAUGGUCUAGUAACAGGAGUUUGGCUGGCUGUCCACAAAACAUUUACCUACACUGCCUUGCUUCCAUGAAACAAAUGUUUUUUGGGUGCAACUGAUGCUUACUUUUGUAUAAUUAUAAUCUUUGAUAUAAAUGUGCAUCUUGAUAGGAAAGUACAUACUAGUCUUGGGAUCUUGCUCUGUAAUUUCUAUCUUUUGGAAAAAAGAAAAGAAAAACUAUAGAAUAAAGGUGACAAAACAGAGUGGAAAGAGAAUCUUAUGUAUGCUAACCUAACCCUGUUGUUUCCCAGAAGGGAUUCUAAAUCCUUAUGAGCUCCUUUAUGAGAUUCUUUAAGAGUUUAAGGAAACCACAACACCAUCUUUCGUCUCAAAGGCAAAGGACCAGUGUGAUUCACAGACCAGUGGUAGCAGCAGCAGCACCUAGGGUGCCUUCCUAAAUCUACCGAACCAGAAACUGCCCCAGAAUUUGCAUUUGUAUGAGACAUAUUUAUCCAUAGGACUUUACUUUGGGGAAGUCUCAGUUGCUUUUCUCAACAGAGCCCACCUGUGUAACACCCCCAAAAAGUGCAGGAGUUCAUCAGUUACUAGAUAAGUUUCUCAUACUGGUCCUUUCAACCUUCUAUCCUUGAACACAUUAGGGAUUCACUUCUUGGUUCAUCUUGGCAGAUUGAAACUAUGUAGCUAUUUUUUUAAAUUAAGAGAAAAGUAGAAAUAGUGUUCCAAUCCAAUCUCAUUUUUAACAGUCCUACUGACUAUAUUUUCAGUAUCAGUCACAUGUAUCUGGAAAAUUAAUUAUAAAAUAAUUGAUCCCAAUGUAUCUGUUUGUAAAGUAACUUUGUAAAAAUUACGUAUGCUUGCAUAUCUGGACAUAUUGCAUAAGUUCAUAUAUGAUAAAAUGCAGAGGCUCCACACUAGUAUUGUAACUUUAAGUAUUUUAAAUCUGAGGUACUGAAAUUGUAUUUAUUUCAUAAUUCUGAUACUAGUUGAUGUUUUCAGGAUAUUGUAAUAUCUUUCAUGGUGAUAACAUUUUUGUACCAUGAGUGUUAGGUAUAGGAAACUAAGUAUCUAAGUUUAAAAGACUUAAAUUUUUAUUUUUCAAAAUUCUUGGUCUUUAUUUCCUUGUUUGUUUCAACACUAAUAGAAACGGAAGAAACAUUUAAAAGACAUGAUUAUUUGACAGUAAAAUAUAAAGAUUUUCUGCAAAUUUCAAGGGAAAAAUGGCUUCUCUCCUAUAAAGCAUCUGGCACGCCUACAUUCACAAAGAAACUGUCAACAAUCAAAUGUACUCCUGACACAAUAUGUGAUUUUUCUACUGCUUAUAAUUCACUAUUUGAAAACAAACUUUUUGGGCAUGGGUCUACAGGAAGAGUUUGAGACAAUUAUGAAGUUUUCUUUUUCUGUACUUAAUUCACUAAAGGUAAUCAAAAUUUAUAGGUUACUAUUGAUACUUUAAGGUCUCUGGUAGGGCUGAAGUUUGAAUUUGUAACAAGUUCUCAGGUGAUACAGAUGCCUUAGGACUGGGCCAAACUUUGAGAAUUAUCAUUAAAUCCUUUAUCAAAUGUAUUUGGUAAAUAGUGGAGUAAAGUGUAUUAUGUAUUGUCUAUGAAUAUGGCAUAUUAUAUACAUUUUUAAAGGAUGCUUAUGCCCUUAUAUUGCUUGUUGUGGUUUAUGUCCUGAGGAACACAGCAGACAAAUCGCAUGUGACAAAUACAAAUUGUUAUGAUUUGUGUUUCUGUAAAUAUGAAACACAUAACAUAUAGCACACAUAAGGUGAUUGUUCUACAUAAUUUGACUUUGAAUAAAUUAUUUGUGGAAUUGUGGCAUGAACAACCAAAGAUGACCAAACUUGUCCACUAAAUCAGUUGGUGGGGAUAAAACAUUUGUGUUUUUUGAAGCUGGUUCCACAUAAUAGCAAACUCAGGCAAAAGAAGGAUUGGUGCAUUUUGCUGUGGUCUCUGAGAGCUCCAAGUACAGAUAUUUGUGACUCAUCUGAUGGGAGGUUGCCUUAAUGUGUACUGGUCCCCCUCGCUGUCAUCACCUGAGCCCCAGAGAGCCUACCUUUCAGGCCAUUACUUAUUUCCCCUGUUUUGUGAAUAACCUGCCUGUUAAUUUGUACAACUUAGAAAAGCUGGGCUCUAAUUUUGGAUCUGUCCUUGCAUGCUACAUGACUUUGAGAAAAUCUCUUAAAUAUUUUGAACUUCAGUUUUAUUUCUAAAAUGAUGAAAUGUAGUUACUCUGUGGGGUUGUUUUAAGGAGCCCGCAAGAGGUAAAGUAGUUUAAUUUGGUGAAUUGUAAAGUGCUACAGAAAGUAUAAAGUGUUAGAGGUUUUCCUACCACAUGUAGCGUGUUGUUUAGACUCUAGAGAGCUCUUUUUGCUUCCUUUUUUUUUUUUUUAAUUUUUUCAGAUUGGUAUUUUCCAAACUUGAAGGUGUAUCCAAAAUACCUGAAGUGCUCAUUAAAACACAGAUUACUUGGCCCUGGACUUCAGAGUUUCUGAUUCACUGAAACUCUGGUAGGUCUCUGGUGGGGCUGAAGUUUGAAUUUGUAACAAGUUCUCAGGUGAUGCAGAUGCCUUAGGACUGGGCCACACUUUGAGAAUUAUCAAGUCUUGCUGCUAGAAACGUGUUUUGCAGAUGAUCAUCUUUGGUAUCAUAUAGUCACUUGCUAAAACCCAAAAUCCCAGGGUUUGUUCCAGACCUACUGAAUCAGAAUCUGCAUUUUAAUAAGAUCCCAAGUGAUUCAUAAAUAAGCAUAUUAAAGUUGGAGAAAUGCUACUUUAGAGAGUUCACAAGCAUGGCUGCACAUUACACUCUACUGGGGACCUUUUAAAAAAUGAUGAAACCACAUAUCCCUGCUUUCAGAAAUUCUGAUUGAUUUAGUUUGGGGUGAGGCUUGGACAUUGGUACUUAAAAAAUGAUUUUGAUAUGUACCCAAGAGUUGAGAACUGCUGCUUUACUGGUGUAAAAAAUCUCUCUUACAGCCAUGUUCGGGGCAGCACUUAUUACAUAUGUACCAAAAAAAAA